rnacentral:lncRNA from 1 species
CUUUCCCUCUUCCCCUGUGCUGCUUUAUAUCAUGCUCCUUUUCUUUCGUUCUUCUUUUUGCUUCAGCCUGCACUCGAGGCCUCUUGACUGUGCCCUAAGUCUGCCUCCUAUAUCCACUUGACAGUUUUGCUUCAGUUCUACCCAAGAGGAAAGUGGAUCAUCUAAGGAGCCAACAAGAAUUACAGAGCCUCAAGACCCUGAAGCAACAAGACUUCCUUGGGACUGGUUCCAGCCUUCUAACAUGGAGGAGCCUCGCCUGCAUCACACACUAGAUCAUCAGCCCAGAAAUGUGGCUCCUCACCAUAGAAAAGGUGACAGCUGUCAGCUAUCGCAGUGGGCUUCUGUGGUUUGAAAGAGACCUCGGUAUUGUAUGCUCAUCUGAGUAAUUGGAAGCCGGACUCGUCACAUCUUUUUCAGCAAUGACACUGGAACAGCAUGGACCCAUCCAUCAUCAUGUUCUCCUUAUGAAAAUGGCUUCCAGUGGUCAGCUUCCAGUCAUAACUAAUUAGUCUUCCAACGUAGGAGCACUCAGAAGCAAAGCAACUCUGAGGGCUUCGACACCUUUCGCAGUGAAGUCGAGAGGUAUCUGAUCUCCUCUGCCUUUUAAUUAAAG